rnacentral:piRNA from 1 species
CAUCAAGCACUCACAGGAUGUCUAUGGC